GCGGGCAUGGCGGAAAUGGUAGACGCGCGAGAUUUAGGUUCUCGUCUCAUGAGGUGCAGGUUCAAGUCCUGCUGCCCGUA
rnacentral:tRNA from 1 species